UGACUGGGGGAAGGGAAAAGCGUGCCGGAGGCCGCGGGAAGAGCCGCAGUGCGCAUGCGUCUAGGCCAGGCCCGCAGCUCCGGCGACUGGGCUCCGAGCGCGCGCAGUUGGUGUGGCUGGAGCCCGCCCCGGGCACCGACUUCCAGCCUCAACGCCCCCUCCCCCACUACCCGCGGCCUAGCGAAGCAACCCCGGGCGUUCACGCUUGUUUCAUCCUCGGUAGCAGUAAGGUGCUGCUUGGCUAAUCCUGGCCGGAAUCCAGUGGAAGCGCGCGCCGCUGAGAUCCUGUCAGCGGAGGAGAAUGGGGCCUGGACUUGCAGAUAUGAGGGUUUGCAGAGAGGGGCCCCUUCCCUGGUGUCCUGUGGUGUGCGAUCACUGGAGAGGGAGUUUCUCGCCCUCGUCGCGCCUGCAGCGCGGGGAGAUGAGGAGCGGACCAGAGAUUUGGACUUCGUUUUCGGCUUAGUCUUAGCCUGUUAACCUCUCCGUUCCCUGAACCUGUGCUAAACUUUAAUUUAGUGAAACCUGUGAAUCCCUGGACAGCUCUUCUUUCUACGAUAUUUACUAGCUAAUCACUUUUCCUUCUCUGUUGAUCUCGUGGUGGACCGUUUGAACCUCGUAUACUCCUAAAGUGUUGACCUCUACUCUCUCAGUCUUGAAUGAAUCCCCCCCAAAUUUUGGAAUUGGUAACCUAAAAUGUUACGCUGAUUCAAUUGCCAGCUAAAACGUAAGCCUUUAAUUUGUCAUUAGCCGAUAACCUCUCCCUUGAUUCCCCAGAGUAUGGUCCACAUUUUCACGAUGUAGACCCUAAUCUCUCUCCCCACCGUCAGAUGACACCUCACAGAACAAAAAGGCCAACUUGCGGAACUCGUGGCCUCCCAUUUCCCACCUGCAAACUGGGCCAAAUGUAUAUUCCUUUCCCAUUUCACUAGAGGUCCUCUCUUCGGUUUAAGGAAAUCCUUUACUAUUGACCUGGUCAACCUUCUCUAUUGACCAGAGCCUGUCCUUCCUUCUCCGCCCUUCGACCUUUUUAACUUUUAUCUUGUUUUCCCCCGCUAGCAGAAAGCGUAACCCUCUCAAUGUCAUGCCCUCUUCGAGACUCGUUUACCUUUCAGCUCCCUUGCACAGCCAAGACCUGAAAUUGAAAUUAUCCUUACCAUCUCAAUUCUUUCUCACCCUCUCUCUCCCCAUCCCCACUGUUCAAGCUACCUCUGCCAGGCUGCUACCACCAGAACUUUUCUGGCAAAUCUCACCAAGAACCGCCUAAUUAGCAAAAUCAGGAAGCACUUUUCAGUUCUCACCUUAUUUGACCUCUGAAGCGUUUCACAUUUGAUCAUGUUUCCUUCCUGACAUUCCCUCUACCCUUGAUUUCUAUGAUCACGCUCACUUGUUUCUUUUCCUAUUUGUCUAACUGUACCUCUCCAGUCUCUGGAUUUUUCUUCCUUAGCCCCUUUUUGUGUGUUGAUGUUUGCUAUGAUUAUGCCUGUUUGCUUCUAGUUCAAUUCAACUUCUCUAGGUAAUCUGACUCAAUGGCUCAAAGCCUCUCAAGUCUGUAUCUUUAGUUCAGACAGCUCUCUCAGCUAAACUUCCUACUAAAUAUUCCCACUUUAAUAACUCUCAGACACCAGUAUGUUCAUAAUUGAUGCAGUCUCUAGACACUCUAGACCUGUUCUUUCUUUUCUGUUAUCCUAAGUAAUGGUGGCUAGUUACAAAGUGUGUAAUCUGGGAGCCCAUUCUUGAUUUCCUUUUCUCUCACCUUUACAUCCUUUUCCCACACCUUUACAGACUCAUGAUUUUUACCUCUUAGAACUAACCAUCAACUCACUCAUCUGUCCUAGUUCUAUCACCUGAGCUAUACCAACCGUCUCCUAAAUUAUUUCCUAGACACAUGGCUAUCGGGAUUUAAAUUAAUACAAUUUUAAAUUUAGUUCCUCAGUACACUAGCCACAUUUUAAGUUCUCAAUAGCCCCCUGUGACUAGUGGCUGUCAUAGGGGAAAGCACAGAUUAUUGAACGUUUGUGUCAUUGCAAGAAAUUCUUUUUUUCCUUCCAUUUCCCCAACUCCCCCCCACCCUGACUCCCACCCCCAUCUGGGAGAUGGAGUCUUGCUCUGUCACUCAGGCUGGAGUGCAGUGGCUCGAUCUUGGCUCACUGCAACCUCCGCCUCCCAGGUUCAAGCAAUUUUUCUGCCUCAGCCUCCCGAGUAACUGGGAUUAUGGGCACCUGCAACCGCACCAGGCGAAUUUUUGUAUUUUUAGUGGAAACAGCGUUUCACCAUGUGGGCCAGGCUGGUCUGGAACUCCUGACCUUGUGAUCUGCCCAUCUCAGCUUCCCAAACUGCUGGGAUUACAGAUCCAGUCAUAGUAUCUGGCCAGUAUGAGGUCCUCACAAAUGGAGCAAAUAUUGAGGUGAGUUGAUGUGUAAGUAUGUGACUUAGGUAAGAGUGCGAUGUGUAUGUUUUAUGGGGCAUCAUGUAUAGGGGAAUAAUCAUAGACAAAAUUGAUGCCUUCAAACAUAUCUGAGACAUUAGAAUUGUGUGAGGAAAGACAGAAGUAGAACAGCACAGCACAGCGUUAAAUUGUCACAGGAAAUAGUCUAGUUCAAUCUGGCCAGAACAUAAGCUCUAAGAAGUAGAGCAGGCAAAUAGAAAAUGGUAGGUAAAUUUAUAUUAGGGAAUACAUCAUGGAGAGUUUCCAGCUGUUAAGUUUGGAACCAGUGGGUAACUGAAAUUUUUCAGCCAGUGACUUGAUCAGAAUUAUGUUGUUAGAUUGGAACUCUGUCUUCCAGUGGCUGGCACUGUCCAUGUUAAUAAACAUAAAAUUAAAAUAACAGGGGGUUGGAGUAUUAUUACCCUCAGUUUUCAAAUGAAACAACAGAAGCAAAGGAUGUCUUAGUCUGUUUUCUGGUGCUAUCACAGAAUACCACAGACUGGUAAUUUAUAAACAAUAGAUGCUGCGAAGUCCAACAGCAUGGCAUUCGCAGCUGGUAAGAGCCUUGUGCUGCAUCAUCCCAAGGCAGAAGGGCAAACAAGCACAUGAGAUGGAGAGAGAAUGGGGGCCAGAACAUACCUUUUUAAAUGGGAACCCAUACCUAUAGUAGUAGCAUUAAUCCAUUUAUGAGAGCAGAGACCCCAUGACCUAAUUAACUCUUAAAAGAUCCCACUUCUUAAUACUGUCACAAUAGCAAUGAAUUUCAACAAGAGUUUUGGAGGGGAAAUUCAAACCAUAGCAGAUAUUAUUUAUCUAAGGUCACACUUUUGGUAAGCAGUAGAAUUGGAUUUGAACCCAGCUGACUCUAGGUGGUAUAUUACUCUGUUUACUAGGCACAGCUGGGAGUUUAAGAUCCAAGAUUGAAGUUGGAGAAAAAAAGAUUAGGAAAAGUAAAUUUGAGACUUAGCAUUGAAGUGAUGUUUGAAUCAGCCAUGAAAGUAGCUGAGAUUUAUAAAGGAGGGGUUAUAAAUACAGUUUAGGGUGAAGGAUUGAGCUUUGGUUAGAUCCUCAUACAGGAAGCAAGAAUCAGAAGUGGAACCAAUGGCAGAUCUCAAACCAGAAGGAGAAGCAGAGCAACAUAAUGUGAGAAAGCUAGAAUAGAAGAUGGUUCCAAGAAUGAUUUCAUGUUUAUUAAAUGAAUGAUUCUAUCAGGACUUCUUAAGCUUUUUAUGUGCCAUGAGCUUUUUUGCCAGUUUGGUGAAGCCUUUGGAUCUUGUCUGAUGAUAUUUGUAAAUGCAUAAAAUAAAAUAUAAACUACAGUUACCGAAAUACAGAGGUCCCCGCUUAUCUGCAGUUUCACUUUCUGUGAUUUCAGUUACCCAAGGUCAACCCUGGUCUAAAAAUAAGUACAAUAAGAUACUUUGUGUAUUAGACAGAAAGACCAUAUUCACAUAACUUUUAUUACAAUAUAAUUGUCCUAUUUUACUGUUGUCGUUAAUCUCUUCCUGUCCUAAUUUGUAAAUUAAACUUUAUUGUAAGUACAUCUGUGGAUAGGAAGAAACUGUAUAACCAGAUUUGGUGCUAUGUAGGGGGCAUUACUGUAUUUAAAGAAAUGUGUGAUGAUCUAGUAGUAUGUGUUUCUGUAUUAAUACAAUACAGUGUUUCUUUACUAAUACAUUAAAAAGCAUGAUUUAUUGGCAAGUUCAACAACUCCCAUAAUUGUAAGUGAUAUUUUGAGAUGUCUGUAACAACUAUAAUGUGAUAUGAAAAUAUUAAUUGAUGGUGUUUUCCAUUGAUGACCGUGUUACUGUUACUACAAAGAUUUAUUUUCUACAUUCAUAAAAUUAAAUUUCAAUGAGAGUUUUUUGAAAAUAAAGAUGACAGGCCAGGGACGGUGGCUCAUGCCUAUAAUCCUAGCACUUUGGGAGGCUGAGGCGGGUGGAUCACCUGAAGUCGAGAGUUUAAGACCACCCUGACCAACAUGGAGAAACCCGUCUCUACUGAAAAUACAGAAUUAGCUGGGCAUGGUGGUGCAUGUCUGUAACCCCAGCUACUCAGGAGGCUGAGGCAGGAGAAUUGCUUGAACCCGGGAGGCAGAGGUUGUGGUGAGCUGAGAUCAUGCGUUGCACUCCAACCUGGGAAACGAGUGAAACUCCAUCUCAAAAAAAGGAAAGAUGACAUUUUAAAAUUUCAUCCAAGUUUAUGGACCUCUGAAUUCUUUUGUUUUUCUUUGAAAACUUUUUUAUUGAUAUAUAAUAAUUGUCUAUGGGGUACAUGUGAUGUUUUGAUACAUACAGAUGUGUAAUGAUCAAAUCAGGGUAAUUAGUAUAUCCAUCACCUCAAACAUCUAUUUUUUUCUGUUGGUAGCAUUUCAAAUCUACUCUGGUAACUAUUUUGAAAUAUAUAGUAAAUGAAUGCUAACUCUAGUCACCCAGCUGUGCUAUCCAACACUAUAGAACUUACUCUUUCAAUUUAACUAUAUUUUUGUAACCAUUAAUGAAUCUCUCUUCAUCUACUCCUGCCCUUUCCCAGACUCUGGUAACCAUCAUUCUACCCUCUACCUCCAUAAGAUCAACUUUUUUAGCUCCCACAUAAAAGAAUAUGUAAUAUUUUUCUUUCUGUGCCUGACUUAUUUCAUUAACAUAAUGACUUCCAAUUCCAUCCAUGUUGCUGCAAAUGAUUGGAUUUCAUUCUUUUUUAUGGCUGAAUAAUAUCCAUUUUAUAUAUAUUAAAUACACACCACAUUUUCUUUAUCCAGUCACUUGAUAGACAUUUAGAUUGAUUCCAUGUCUUGGCUACUGUGGGUAGUGCUGCAAUACAUAUAGGUGUGUACACAUCUCUUUGAUACACUGAUAUCCUUUCUUUUGGAUAUAUACCCAGCAGUGGAAUUGCUGAAUCAUGUAGUAGAUCUGCUCUUAGUUGUUUGAGGAACCUUUAUACGGUUUUCCAUAGUGGCUCUCUUAAUUUACAUUUCUACCAUCAGUAUAUGAGCAUUUCCCUUUCUCUGCAUCCUCACCAGUAUUUCUUAUCUGUGUCUUUUUUAUAACAGCCAUUUUAAAUAGAUUCAGAUGAUAUCUCAUUGUGGUUUUGAUUUGCAUUUUCCUGAUGAUUAGUGAUGUUGAGCAUUUUUUCAUAUGCCUGUUGGCCAUUUGUAUGUCUUUUGAGAAAUGUCUAUUCAGAUCAUUUGCCCAUUUUCAAGUGGGAUUAUUUGGAGGUUUUUUGCUGUUGAGUUUGAGUUCCUUAUGUAUUCUGGUUAUUAAUCUCUUAUCAGAUGCAUAGUUUGCACAUAUUUUUUUUCCCAUUCUGAAGGUUGUCUUUUCACUUUGUUGAUAUAUAUUCUGGUUAUUAAUCCCUUAUCAGAUGGAUAGUUUGUACAUAUUUUUUCCCAUUCUGAAGUUUGUUUCUUCACUCUGUUGAUUGUUUCCUGUGGCAGAAGCUUUUUAUCUUAAUGUAAUCCCAUUUGUCUAUUUUUGCUUUUGUUGCCUGUGCUUGUGAAGUCUUAUACCAAAAAAAUGUUUGCUCAGACCAAAGUCUUGAGCAUUUCCCCAGUAUUUCUUAUAGUAAUUUUAUAGUUUCAGGUCUUACAUUUCAGUUUUUAAUCUAUUUUGCUUUAAUUUUAUACUCAGUGUGAAAUGAUGUCCAGUUGUAUAUUUCUGCAUAUUGUUAUCCAGCACCAUUUAAUGAAGAUAGUGUCCUCUUCAACAAAGGUACUAAAUACUGAAUAUCUUAGUACCUUUGUUGAAAGUCAGUUGGCUAUAAAUAUGUAGAUCUAUUAUGUCUGUGUUCUUUAUUCAGUUCUAUUCGUCUAUGAAUCGUUUUUAUCCCAGUAUCAUGCUCUUUUAGUUACUAUAGGUUUGUAGUAUAUUUUGAAGUCAGGUAGUAUGAUGCUUCCAGCUUUGUUCUUUUUGUUCAGCAUAGCUUUGACUAUUUAGUGUCUUCUGUGGUUCCGUAAGAAUUUUAGGUUUGUUUUUUCUAUUUCUGCAAAUAAUGUCUUUGGUAUUUUGAUAGGAAUUGCAACAAAUCUGUAGAUUGCUUUUGGUGGUACAGUCAUUUUCACAAUACCAAUUCUUCUAAUCUAUGAACACAGGAUAUCUUUCCAUUUUUUGUGACCUCUUCAGUUUCUUUCCUCAGUGUUUCCUGGUUUUCCUUGUAGAAAUCUCUCACCUCUUUGGUUUAUUUUAGUUAUUAUAUUUUGUUUUGGGUUUUUUUUUUUGUAGCUAUUGAAAAUUGGAUUACUUUCUUUAAUUUCUUUUUCCAUUAGUUUACUGUUUGUAUCCAGAAGCACCAUUGAUUUUUAUAUGACAAUUUUGUAUCCUGCAACUUUACUGAAUGUAUCAGUUCUAAGAGGUUUUGUGUGUGUGGAGCUUUUAGUGUUUGGUAUAUAUAAUAUCAUUUUGUCUGCAAACUAGAAUAGUUUGGCUUCCUUCUUUCCAAUUUGAAUGGCCUUUAUUUUUUUUUCUCUUGUCUAAUUGCUCUGACUAGAACUAGACUUCUGAUUGCUAUGGCAUUUGGACUGCAGGUUAAAAACCCUUCUUCUGAUUGAAAGAGGAAGUGAGACCCUGUAGCAAGGUGUGAGGGAAUUAAGACAGAAAAAAACUCACUGGACUGGUAACUGGGGGACAUUACUGAUAUUGGAGAGCAGGUUCUAUAGUCUGGGAAUACAAUAGAGUAUGAGGACCUGAAAAUCCAGACCAAGUAAUAAAGAGUAUGGUAGGAAGGAGAGAGCUAUUUAUGUUUUUUGAGAGGGGAAGUGAGAGCUACCUUCAUAAGAAGAUGUAUUGGAUUUAUUUAAUCCAUACUUCGGAUCAAAUUAGAAUCCAGAGUAUGAGGGACCUGACACCCCAGGCUAAAUAAUUGAGACUGAAUAUAGUGGAAAGGAGAAUUGUUUUUUGAAAGGAAAAGGAAGAGCUACCUUUGUAGGAAGAUUUCGUUGUAGGAUUGAUUUAUUUAUUUGACAAUUGUGGAGUGGUUUUGGAGAGACUGGAGGUAGGUCAGUUAGGAACCUAACGCAUUCACCCAUAAGAAGGAAUAAAGUAGUCAUGACAUCAAAAAUAAUUGAACUUAGAAAAGAACCCCAAAUUCUCACUGGGACCCACAGGUCUCACAUAGUCUUGCCUCUGGCUUCAUCUCCUGUCCUUUGCUAUUCCCUAAUUAUGUUCCAACUGCACUGGUCUUCCUUCAUUUCCUUGAAGGAGCUAGCCCAUUGCCUUCCUCAGGGCCUCUUACAUGCUGUUCCCUUGCUAGAACACUGCUUCCCAUUCUUUACCUGGCUAAGUCUUACUUAACCUUCAGAUCUCAUCUCUAUAUCACUAGGUUUCCCACUCUGGUUAGUUUAUGGAUCUCAAUUCCUUUCCUUUAUGGUAUCCUUUAUAAUUUGUUUUUAUAGAUUUGUAUGUUUGCUUGCUUGAUGUCUCUUUAUUUUCAUUAGACUUUAAGUGUGAUGAUGGCAGGUAUCUGAUACACAGCAUACUGCUAGAGACAUAGAAGGUGCCCAAUAAAUAUUUGCUAAAUAAAUGAA